UACGUAGGGGGCGAGCGUUGUCCGGAUUUAUUGGGCGUAAAGAGCUCGUAGGCGGCGCGGUAAGUCGGGUGUGAAAUCUCGGGGCUUAACUCCGAAACUGCAUUCGAUACUGCCGUGCUUGAGGACUGGAGAGGAGACUGGAAUUUACGGUGUAGCGGUGAAAUGCGUAGAUAUCGUAAGGAAGACCAGUGGCGAAGGCGGGUCUCUGGACAGUUCCUGACGCUGAGGCACGAAGGCCAGGGGAGCAAACGGG
rnacentral:rRNA from 1 species